rnacentral:rRNA from 1 species
CACGUAGGGUGCGAGCGUUGUCCGGAAUUACUGGGCGUAAAGGGCGCGUAGGCGGCCUGCUAAGUCGAACGUGAAAUCCCCGGGCUUAACCCGGGAACUGCGUCCGAUACUGGUGGGCUUGAAUCCGGGAGAGGGAUGUGGAAUUCCAGGUGUAGCGGUGAAAUGCGCAGAUAUCAGGAGGAACACCGGUGGCGAAGGCGGGUCUCUGGGCCGAUACUGACGCUGAGGAGCGAAAGCGUGGGGAGCGAACAGG